UAAUACAUGCAAGUCGAGCGGACAGAUGGGAGCUUGCUCCCUGAUGUUAGCGGCGGACGGGUGAGUAACACGUGGGUAACCUGCCUGUAAGACUGGGAUAACUCCGGGAAACCGGGGCUAAUACCGGAUGGUUGUUUGAACCGCAUGGUUCAGACAUAAAAGGUGGCUUCGGCUACCACUUACAGAUGGACCCGCGGCGCAUUAGCUAGUUGGUGAGGUAACGGCUCACCAAGGCGACGAUGCGUAGCCGACCUGAGAGGGUGAUCGGCCACACUGGGACUGAGACACGGCCCAGACUCCUACGGGAGGCAGCAGUAGGGAAUCUUCCGCAAUGGACGAAAGUCUGACGGAGCAACGCCGCGUGAGUGAUGAAGGUUUUCGGAUCGUAAAGCUCUGUUGUUAGGGAAGAACAAGUGCCGUUCAAAUAGGGCGGCACCUUGACGGUACCUAACCAGAAAGCCACGGCUAACUACGUGCCAGCAGCCGCGGUAAUACGUAGGUGGCAAGCGUUGUCCGGAAUUAUUGGGCGUAAAGGGCUCGCAGGCGGUUUCUUAAGUCUGAUGUGAAAGCCCCCGGCUCAACCGGGGAGGGUCAUUGGAAACUGGGGAACUUGAGUGCAGAAGAGGAGAGUGGAAUUCCACGUGUAGCGGUGAAAUGCGUAGAGAUGUGGAGGAACACCAGUGGCGAAGGCGACUCUCUGGUCUGUAACUGACGCUGAGGAGCGAAAGCGUGGGGAGCGAACAGGAUUAGAUACCCUGGUAGUCCACGCCGUAAACGAUGAGUGCUAAGUGUUAGGGGGUUUCCGCCCCUUAGUGCUGCAGCUAACGCAUUAAGCACUCCGCCUGGGGAGUACGGUCGCAAGACUGAAACUCAAAGGAAUUGACGGGGGCCCGCACAAGCGGUGGAGCAUGUGGUUUAAUUCGAAGCAACGCGAAGAACCUUACCAGGUCUUGACAUCCUCUGACAAUCCUAGAGAUAGGACGUCCCCUUCGGGGGCAGAGUGACAGGUGGUGCAUGGUUGUCGUCAGCUCGUGUCGUGAGAUGUUGGGUUAAGUCCCGCAACGAGCGCAACCCUUGAUCUUAGUUGCCAGCAUUCAGUUGGGCACUCUAAGGUGACUGCCGGUGACAAACCGGAGGAAGGUGGGGAUGACGUCAAAUCAUCAUGCCCCUUAUGACCUGGGCUACACACGUGCUACAAUGGACAGAACAAAGGGCAGCGANACCGCGAGGUUAAGCCAAUCCCACAAAUCUGUUCUCAGUUCGGAUCGCAGUCUGCAACUCGACUGCGUGAAGCUGGNAUCGCUAGUA
rnacentral:rRNA from 1 species